rnacentral:rRNA from 1 species
AUUGAACGCUGGCGGCAGGCCUAACACAUGCAAGUCGAACGAGUCGCGGACGGGUGUGUAAUGUCUGGGACACUGUCAUAUGGAGGGGGAAAACCACUGGAAACGGUAGCUAAUACCGCAUACCCUCAGAUGCGCCCAGAUGGGAUUCGCUAGGUGGUGGGGAAACGGCACACCAAUGCGACGAUCCCUAGCUGGUCCGAGAGUAUGACCAGCCACACUGGAACUGAGACACGGUCCAGACUCCUACGGUAGGCAGCAGUGGGGAAUAUUGCACAAUGGGCGCAAGCCUGAUGCAGCCAUGCCGCGUGUAUGAAGAAGGCCGUCGGGUUGUAAAGUACUUUCAGCGGGGAGGCGUUACCCGCAGAAGAAGCACCGGCUAACUCCGUGCCAGCAGCCGCGGUAAUUC